AUGCGUUUUGUGCGACGCAUCCAGGAGUCUGAGAUGAAGGAGGCUUUAAAAAGAAUGAAAGGAGGCAAGGCGAUGGGCUCUGAUUGUAUCCCCAUUGAGGUGUGGAAAGGUCUCGGGGACAUAGCGAUAGUAUGGCUAACCAAGCUUUUCCACCUCAUUUUUCGGGCAAACAAGAUGCCAGAAGAAUGGAGAUGGAGUAUAUUAGUACCAAUCUUCAAGAACAAGGGGGAUGUUCAGAGUUGUACUAAUUACAGUGGAAUUAAGCUGAUGAGCCAUACAAUGAAGCUAUGGGAGAGAGUCAUUGAGCACCGCUUAAGAAGAAUGACAAGCAUGACCAAAAAUCAGUUUGGUUUCAUGCCUGGGAGGUCGACCAUGGAAGCCAUUUUCUUGGUACGACAACUUAUGGAGAGA
rnacentral:rRNA from 1 species